ensembl:snoRNA SNORD21 Small nucleolar RNA SNORD21
UCUCGAUGAUGAUACGAAGCACGCUGAGCAAAAUGUAGUUGGUCCUUCAUUUGCAUUGGCUGAUGUUUACUGUCCUUUUCAAGACGGGGCUGAGAGAAGC